CGCAUGGACCCUUCCAGGCUCCAUGAGGUUCCUGUGUAUCAACAGCUGCAAAGGCAAAGGGAUUGGCCUCCUGGGCAGAAAGGGGCCAAAAGGGAGGGCCCUUUGGAGGAGCGUGGCUCUGGUGAGGGGUGGAGGUGAGACCCACACUUAUGCUCUGAUGCCUUGCAACUGAUUUCCUCCAGAUACAAACAGGGCAGCUGAAUGGGGAGAUGGCCUCCCCCAUCAGAGGCAGUUCCCAGCCAGCUUCCUUGGAUGGCCACACAGGAAUCACUCCACACACCAUCCCUGAGAAGCAGAACCACAGGGAAACCUCUUGUCCCUCUGGAAACUCAGUUACAAUCAGUUCAGCACUUGAAGGAAGGAUCUCGAAACAUUACAGCCCGAAGAACAAGAGGGUGAAACUGUGGAGGCCUCAGCAUCUUCUACCCAGAGUGUGCCCAAGCUAUACCCUGGGGCAGCCACCAGCAUCAAGAGCUUCAGGCCAGUAGGGAGCUAGGGGACCUCUUGGUCCCAUUUCCUUGAUAACAUCAGAAAUCUGAAGAACAACUCUCCAGCAAGGCACGGGCUUCAACUGAAGCCCUCUUCCCAAGUCAUACUAAAACAAGAACUGACCCCAGCUGCGGGUGCUUCUCUCUGCCCGCACAUCCCUCUUCCAGCCUGCUCCAUAUGCAGCCCCACACAGUGGGGGUUCCUGUUGGGAUUGUGUGUCUGGGGCAAGUGACCUUACCACCCCAAGCCUCCAUUUCCUCAGAAGUCAAACAGGGAUGGGGAUGCUGACUUUCCGGGAAGCCAGCUCACUUUGCUUUCAACUUCCAAGUCCACUGAAAGUUUCCAGUCCCGGGAUUUUAGGAAGAAGAAAGAAGAUACUAGACAUUUCUGAUAUUUCUCUGGGUCCCAGGAAGAAAUGUGCCAACGGAGCAGUGUGGUCUUUGGACAGGGUUUUAAAUUGAAGGCAGGCAAGGCUAAGUCCACUGUCAGACUGUGUGGCCUUGGGGUUUGUGCUUCUAUGGAAGGCCCUUCUUUAAAUGGGCUGGAAGAGGUUGCAGCAAUGUGGGAUCCCAUCCAUGGUCAUUGGGAAACUGGCCUUAUGUCCCUGCAGGGCCUUUUCUCAACUUGAAAGGAAGUGAAAAUAUCUGAGAACAGCACCAGUCAAUACGAUGACUUUCUUGCCCUAGGAAAAGUCAUGCACUGAGCCCAAAUACAUUUGUUUAUCCUGGGAGACUGAAAAGAACCAGACCCAGGCACCUAGAGGCCUCAUGAGCACCAGGGUCCUCAGCGAUGAGGGGAAUGAGAGCUGCUGUCCCUCUGCAGGCUGAGCCUGGGCACACAGCUGCUCCUCCUGUUCCUCCUCUGUCCAGCAAUGGACAGCCCAAAGCACCAGGCUCCCCAUGUGAGAUAAGCAGGGAGAAAAUGCCAGGUUAACUUCAAGAUUCAUUAGAAAUUCCAGGGGGAAAUGAACAGUUGCCAAGUGAGAAAGGAAAGGGCAAGCCCAUUCUAAGUGAGAGGAGAUGUUUCCUUUGCUGUGGCGCUCCAAGGGGUGACAAAGAGUGCUGAGAUGAAGGGACAGAGCGUCAGUCCUCAAUAGCUGCCCCGAGCCAUCCUUCAGUGAAUCUUUAACUGAGGGCUGACAGGAGGACAGCCACGUCGCAGAGGAAGAUAAAUGGAUGGGGAGUCCAGCUAAGUUAACCAACUGGUCUUGGCUUGCCCAGAUCAUUCUAGGUUUUAGCAUUCAAAGUCCCACAUCCCAGGAAUCCCCUCCACCCAGGGCAAAGGGGGAAGGUCAUCCCCCUAAUUCCAGCAAGUGGCUGUUGAAGGUGCUUCAUGCUACAGUGUUCAAGGUGAGGCGGGUGGCUCCGAGAGAUGGUCCACAGAAAGGAUACCUGCCGUACCUGCCAUAGGAUACCUGGUUAAUGUCAGGUUAAUUUCAAGAUUCAUUAGAAGUUCCAGGGGGAAAUGAACAGUUGCCAAGUGAGAAAGGAAAGGGCAAACCCAUUCCAACUGAGAUGAGAUGUGCCCUUCGCUGUGGAGCUCCAGGGCAGAUGACAAACAGUGCUGAGAUGAAGGAAUGGAGCAUCCUGGGCUUGCAAAUCCCGAGGGGAACUCACCCUCUUCAAACAUGUCAAGUCUGCUCACCGGGUCAUCUGAACACAAGUAGAGUCAUUUCAAGAUUAAUGAAUCUUGAAAUUAACCCAGCAAGUGCCCAUGCUGAGGCUCUGGGAGGUCAUCUGACUUACCCAAGAUCACACAGCUAGGAUUUGAACCCCAAGUCUUUGCAGAGGAGGGAGCAAGAGGAGAGCAGCAGAAGCCUUCGAGCCUGAGCUGCCCCAUCUCUGAGAGCCAUAAGCACAUCAGCUCUGCUACUCCUGGUUCUCUCCCAGAGACUCAAGAGGAGCCAGCUCAAUCCACAGCCCCAGGCUCAGCAAGAGGCUUGAGUGCGGCACCACAGGGCCAACAGGAGAGGCAGAGCUGUGAGGCCACAGACCCUUACAGCUACUUGACAUUAUGGCUAAGCAGUCCCUGAGGAAGCUUAGAGGUGCAGAGAGAUAGAGAGAGACUUGCUCUUGGUCUCAGAGGCCCAAAAGGAAACACAGGGGCUUCAAACUCGACCCCCAUCCUGGGCUUGCAAAUUCCCAGGGGAACUCAUCUGCCGCAGACAUGUCAAGUCUGCUCACCGAGUCAUCUCAACACAAGUAGAAUCACUCCUUUGAGUCUCACGUGCCCCAUGCCUUGUUUUCUCCAGGGUAAUGAGCUCUGGUUCCUUCAAUGGUUUCUCUUAUGAGCUGGUUUUGAGUCUUCGCCUUGCUGGGCUUGUUCCCUCAGUGUUUGCUUCAGUACAUCAUAUGUAUUAAAAGACAGCUCUUCUGGCUCUUCUUAGUUGGGAGAUAGCAAUAAGGAUUGGAAAGAGACAAAGGGGGAAGGAACAGGCAUCAGGGUUUCAACACAAACUGAUGUUCAUUGAAUCCUUAUAAAGUUCCCUAGAACUGAAUGGAACCUUCCAAGAGUGGUUAACCAGAGCCGACUGCAGCUCAGACCCUUAUUCUAAACACUCUUGCAACACUAAUUUAUUGUUGUGGCCCUCCCAUUCCAUGGCUAACUCGUAUCAUUAAGAAGCCCUAGAGUCUUCAUAACUCUAAAGCCAUGCCUCCUAAAUCCAGUUGGCUUUUGGGGCAGAACUUUACUUUUAUCCCUGUUACACGGUGCCUUGUUGACUCAUCCCUCCAUCCUUGUCUGU
rnacentral:lncRNA from 1 species